GAAUAAUUAAUGCAUCGAACAUACCAUUGUGUGACCAGUCUGCAAAUAAUCAUUUGGAAACUGAAACCUCGUUUGUUAGAGAACAGGAGGUCUAGCAUGGAGAGCCAAUUCCAUCCCGAGUCUGAAUCAUGUGUUUUACCUCAAAUUUCUUCACCAAUCAGUCAUCCUAAUGAAGAAAAUAUCAAUCGUGAAAGAGAGUCAUAAACUUCAGACGACGACGAAAGUUCAGAUAACGCAGAUUUUGGUGAAUUCGAUGAGACAACUGUGAUUGAUGUGGCUGAUACUUCCUCCCUCAGUGGCAGUAACUUACUGUCGUUCAAACAGAUUCUUCUUCACUGGGCAGCUAGCACUAAUCAAAAGAAGAGUCACCUAACCUAUCUGUUACUGUUGCUAAAAGAACCUAAACCACUGAUAGAUUUUGACCGAUUACCAUGUUCUGGUAAACAUCCAAUUGAAAACAAUGGAACACAC